UACAGAGGUGGCAAGCGUUGUUCGGAAUUACUGGGCGUAAAGGGCGCGUAGGCGGCCUUCUAAGUCAGACGUGAAAGCCCCAGGCUUAACCUGGGAACUGCGUCCGAUACUGGGAGGCUUGGAUUCGGGAGAGGGAUGUGGAAUUCCAGGUGUAGCGGUGAAAUGCGUAGAUAUCUGGAGGAACACCGGUGGCGAAGGCGGCAUCCUGGACCGAGAUCGACGCUGAGGCGCGAAAGCUAGGGGAGCAAACGGG
rnacentral:rRNA from 1 species